UACGGAGGGUGCGAGCGUUAAUCGGAAUAACUGGGCGUAAAGGGCGCGCAGGCGGUCUUGUAAGAGAGAUGUGAAAUCCCCGGGCUCAACCUGGGAAUAGCAUUUCAGACUGGGAGUCUAGAGUACUUGAGGGAGGGGUAGAAUUCCACGUGUAGCGGUGAAAUGCGUAGAGAUGUGGAGGAAUACCGAAGGCGAAGGCAGCCCCUUGGGAAUGUACUGACGCUCAUGUGCGAAAGCGUGGGGAGCAAACAGG
rnacentral:rRNA from 1 species